GGUAAUCUGAGUGGUUAAAAGUAUCCGACGGCUGAAAACAUUAUGUGGGCAGCUAUAUAAACGUCCUUGAACCCUAAAAUCAGCCAUCAAUCGUCUCGAUCGCUCGCAAACAUGUUGUCGAAGGUUUUCUCUGUCACAAAGGCCAUGCCCUGGUUUGCAAUUUCGAAUGCCGUUACUAAAACCUUAACUUUUGGAUCUACAGCCUACUUUUUUUACCGUACGGUCCCGUUGUUUGGUGAAGUCAUGAAAUCGCAAAAGGCUGCAAACGAGGCCUUUCAUCAGUGCUGGUCCAGAUCUCGAUCCAAGUAACACCCUUCUGUUCUAAAUGGGUGCAAUGGUAAUGUAAUGUAAUGUAAUGUGAUGUGAUGCGAUGGGUGUUGGAGGAUGACUAUUGCUUGAAUAAUUUUAAGACCUUGUAAUUGAGACCUUGUAUAUAUAUCUGUUGCUUACUUUUGCGGUGUAUGUUAAGGCCUCAGGGGCUUAUUUGAUCGUUGCCGCAAGUCUUAUUUUGUGACUCAUUUAGGAUUACUAGCGAUUCCAUGUCUAAUUUAAAUUGAGUUAUAUAGUACUGUCCAUGUUUUUAA